rnacentral:rRNA from 1 species
ACGUAGGUCACGAACGUUAUUCGGAAUCACUGGGCUUAAAGGGCGCGUAGGCGGUUUGAUAAGUUACGGUUGAAAUCCGGCGGCUCACCCGUCGAACUGGCCGUGAUACUGUCGAACUGGAGGUGCGGAGGGAUGCGUGGAACUUGUGGUGGAGCGGUGAAAUGCCCAGAUAUCACACGGAACGCCGGUGGUGAAAACGGGUCACUGGGCCUGUCCUGACGCUGAGACGCGAGAGCGUGGGGAGCAAACAG